rnacentral:rRNA from 1 species
AAGCGUUUGCGACCAGACCUUUUCCCGGCGGAUCAUCCGGUGUUCUCACCGGUGCACUUCGCCGGGUUUAGGCCAGCAUCGGUUUCUGUAGGGGGAUAAAAGCUCUGGGAAUGUGGCUCCCUCGGGAGUGUUAUAGCCCUCUGCAUAAUACCCUUACGGGGACCGAGGACCGCGCUUCGGCAAGGAUGCUGGCAUAAUGGUCGUCAACGA